GUCGUCCGUCACCUUACUGCAGCCGGACAACGACAGGACGGUCAAGUUGGGCAAGGAGUUCACUGUAGAGAAGACAAAAUUAGGAAUUCGUCAAAGCGAUGAACUAAGAGCAAGUAGAGGACACAGGAGAUGUGUUCCUGGCUUCAACGCGUUGAGAGGAGAAUUCUUACCGAUAUUGACCACACCGUGGUUGGUGAGCUCCCAGCAGGAUUGGAGCCUGAGGAUGCUG